rnacentral:rRNA from 3 species
UGGACCCGUAAUCCGGGUUGCGGACAGUGUCUGGUGGGUAGUUUGACUGGGGCGGUCUCCUCCUAAAGAGUAACGGAGGAGCACGAAGGUUGGCUAAUCCUGGUCGGACAUCAGGAGGUUAGUGCAAUGGCAUAAGCCAGCUUGACUGCGAGCGUGACGGCGCGAGCAGGUGCGAAAGCAGGUCAUAGUGAUCCGGUGGUUCUGAAUGGAAGGGCCAUCGCUCAACGGAUAAAAGGUACUCCGGGGAUAACAGGCUGAUACCGCCCAAGAGUUCAUAUCGACGGCGGUGUUUGGCACCUCGAUGUCGGCUCAUCACAUCCUGGGGCUGAAGUAGGUCCCAAGGGUAUGGCUGUUCGCCAUUUAAAGUGGUACGCGAGCUGGGUUUAGAACGUCGUGAGACAGUUCGGUCCCUAUCUGCCGUGGGCGCUGGAGAACUGAGGGGGGCUGCUCCUAGUACGAGAGGACCGGAGUGGACGCAUCACUGGUGUUCGGGUUGUCAUGCCAAUGGCACUGCCCGGUAGCUAAAUGCGGAAGAGAUAAGUGCUGAAAGCAUCUAAGCACGAAACUUGCCCCGAGAUGAGUUCUCCCUGAGACUUAGAGUCUCCUGAAGGAACGUUGAAGACGACGACGUUGAUAGGCCGGGUGUGUAAGCGCAGCGAUGCGUUGAGCUAACCGGUACUAAUGAACCGUGAGGCUUAACCUUACAACGCCGAAG